UACGUAGGCAGCAAGCGUUGUCCGGAAUCAUUGGGCGUAAAGCGCGCGUAGGCGGCCCGAUAAGUCCGCUGUGAAAGUCAACGGCUCAACUGUUGGAUGCCGGUGGAUACUGUCGGGCUAGAGUACGGAAGAGGCAAGUGGAAUUCCUGGUGUAGCGGUGGAAUGCGCAGAUAUCAGGAGGAACACCUAUAGCGAAGGCAGCUUGCUGGGACGUUACUGACGCUAAGGCGCGAAAGCGUGGGGAGCGAACAGG
rnacentral:rRNA from 1 species